rnacentral:rRNA from 1 species
CCUACGGGAGGCAGCAGUGGGGAAUAUUGCACAAUGGGGGAAACCCUGAUGCAGCGACGCCGCGUGAGUGAAGAAGUAUCUCGGUACGUAAAGCUCUAUCAGCAGGGAAGAAAAUGACGGUACCUGACUAAGAAGCCCCGGCUAACUACGUGCCAGCAGCCGCGGUAAUACGUCGGGGGCAAGCGUUAUCCGGAUUUACUGGGUGUAAAGGGAGCGUAGGCGGCAGUACAAGUCUGGAGGGAAAUCCCGGGGCUUAACCCCGGAACUGCUGUGGAAACUGGGCGGCUGGAGUGGAGGAGGGGUAAGCGGAAUGCCUGGUGUAGCGGUGAAAUGCGUAGAUAUUAGGAGGAACACCGGUGGCGAAGGCGGCAUGCUGGA